rnacentral:rRNA from 1 species
CACACCCCCCCACAAAACCCCUCACUAAUACUGAAUGACUCCAUAUUAAUAUGGAAGACCUUAUGUUAGAACUAGUAAUAAGAAAAAGAAUUUCUCCGACAUAAUAAGUGUAAACCGGAAUGAACAAAUCACCGGUACUUAUCAUCAAUGAACCCCGAGUAGUAACUUCAACAAGAAAAACCUACUAAUCAACAAUGUUAACCUUACACUAGAAUUAAACUGGAAAGAUAAAAAAAUGAGGAAGGAACUCGGCAAAUUACAACCCCGCCUGUUUACCAAAAACAUCGCCUCUUGAAAACACAUAGGAGGUCCAGCCUGCCCAAUGACUAAGUUAAACGGCCGCGGUACCCUAACCGUGCGAAGGUAGCACAAUCACUUGUUCUCUCUAAAUAAGGACCGGUAUGAACGGCAUCACGAGGGUUAUACUGUCUCCCUAAUUUUAUCAAUGAAACUAAUCUCUUCGUGAAGAAGCGAAGAUAGACCUAUAAGACGAGAAGACCCCAUGGAGCUUCAAACUAAGUAUCACUUGAACACUAUUAACCAUAAAAACCUAACAAAUCUGACUACUAGUUUUCGGUUGGGGUGACCGCGGAGUAGAAAAAAACCUCCACGACGAAAGGAACAAAACUCCUAAUCUAAGAGCUACAACUCAUAGAAUCAACAUAUUGACCUAAAUUGAUCCAAUAAUUUUGAACAACGAACUAAGUUACCCUGGGGAUAACAGCGCAAUCCAUUUCAAGAGCUCAUAUCGACAAAUGGGUUUACGACCUCGAUGUUGGAUCAGGGUAUCCUAGCGGUGCAACCGCUGCUAAAGGUUC